rnacentral:rRNA from 1 species
GUGCCAGCAGCCGCGGUAAUACGGAGGGUGCGAGCGUUAAUCGGAAUUACUGGGCGUAAAGCGCAGCCAGGCGGUUUGUUAAGCUAGAUGUGAAAGCCCCGGGCUCAACCUGGGAUGGUCAUUUAGAACUGGCAGACUAGAGUCUUGGAGAGGGGAGUGGAAUUCCAGGUGUAGCGGUGAAAUGCGUAGAUAUUCUGGAGGAACAUCAGUGGCGAAGGCGACUCCCCUGGCCAAAGACUGACGCUCAUGUGCGAAAGUGUGGUAGCGAACAGGAUUAGAUACCCCUGGUAGUCC